rnacentral:lncRNA from 1 species
AGUCCUCCCAGAAACCUAGCAACAAGUGUUUUCCAAUCUGGCUCACAGGAGUAAAAGAAGAAAAUAAAUGUGUGCCCCUGAGCCACUGCCUGCAACACAAAAGAAGGCUAUUAUUGUUAAAAACAUUAAUUCUUAUUGAUAUUUGUCCCACUGUGAUUACUGGCAGCUAGAAGACAGCUUUGGGGUCAGUGAGACCUGGAUUCUAAUUCCAGCUCAGCCACUUGUUUCUGUGAGGCACCGGCCAAGUUAUGUAACCUCAGCAUAUUUCCUCAGCCAUAAAAUACGGAUAAUAAGACUACCUAUUUCACAGUAAGUGCACAGCACAGAGGGGGGAAAAAUCCAGCAAUGAUGCCUAAUUUUAUCAUCUUCCUCAUCACCAUUAUUUAGUUAGCUCUAAGUAGAAAGGGUCUUGCCUUGAAACCUGAUAGGAUGACAGAAAGGAAGGGAAAUGAACACAUUCCAGAGAUAUUCAGAAGAUAAAAUAGAAUAACUUGCUGAUAGAAUGGUGAGGGAGGUGGGGGUGGGGAGAGAGGUAGGACAUGCAUGGUGAGGGCAAGACAGAUGCUCCAAAUGACUCCUAGGUCUGCGGUAUGUGUAAGCAGAUGGAUGGAGGUGCCAUUUAUUCAUCUAGGAAUUCAUUCUUCAAAAUACUUUGAGACAGCUGCUAGUAGAUGAAGGCAUAACCAUCUGUGAAUGCACUGUGGCUUGUGGGAAAGAAUAGAGCCUGGGAAGAAGAGGGCCUGGGAACACUAAGUAAAGAGAAAGAAAAUUCAUUGUUAAUAUGAGAAAUGCAUGAAUGGAGCAAUCACAGAAUUCUACAACCCAAGAGCCAGGCAUUUUCCUCCAGAACCAAGAAUACUUCCAAAACAGCCAAAUGACCCUGUACAUCAAACCAAUUUACAGACACUUUAGAAUUCUAUCAGCUGCACAAAAUCAGUUGUGUAAUAUUGUUAACUCCCUUCUCCCAAACCCCACCUAAAAAUGCUAACACAAUUAAAGGGGAUGAUUAAAAGCAAUCCUGGAAUUUCCUCACAGAAACAUUUACAACAUGAAAAAGGCCCAUUAAUUUUUCUAGUGUUCCUCAAACAUUUUGGAAGUCUCCGAAAUAUCAAAAGAGAAUGGCCCUAGGGUCCUGGCAGGGUGCAAUCUUAAGCUGACCUCUGCAAAUGAAAACAAUUUAUGAAGCCUACUCUAGUACUUUCAAAAUGCAUGCAAGUUUUGCAUGCGACUGCAUAAUAUAAUUGGGUUGCUUUUAAUACAUAUAUGCACUUUUAAUUCCCCAACUAUUGAAUCAAAAGUGAUGUGCUAUGAAUGUGCCUCAAUUAGCCCAUGACUUUGGGGAUGCCCUUGUCCAGAGCUUUCCACGCAGUGUGGAACUCAUUAUCUAAGUUGAGAACCAUGAAAUUAAUCUGAAAUGGACUAGGGAGGUUUUUCCUUGGAGCAGGGACUAGAGUCAUGACCUCUGGAAGUCACUCUUCAUUCCUCCAAAUCUUUUAAUAUAUAUUAAUAAUAAUAUUAAUAUUAAAAAUCACACUGAGUGGUUUUUAAAUUCAUUUUGCAGGACAAGUAGAUACUACGGUACAUGGUAGGGACAUAGGUACUAUGGGGAGGAGGAUACUGAGACACUCAGAGAGGUGAAGUACAUUUCCAAAAGGUCAAUAGCCCACGACUGCUGGAACCCUAAUCUGAGCCUAGAUAGCCCCUGUUCAUGAAAACUACUAAUACUUCCUCUACUGUACCUUAGCAGCACACUCCUAUUGCUAUUCUCACUGAUGGCUCAUAUUUGAUGGUAAUCAAGAAUAAAAACUAAAUGGCAUGCUUCAAAAGUAAGAAAAAAAGCUUUAUCUUCCCAAAACAUAAUUUUAUUUAACUGAAAAAAUAUCA